UACGUAGGGGGCAAGCGUUGUCCGGAAUCAUUGGGCGUAAAGCGCGCGUAGGCGGCUAGAUCAGUCUGCUGUGAAAGUCAAAGGCUCAACCUUUGAAUGCCGGUGGAUACUGUCUAGCUAGAGUCCGGAAGAGGCGAGUGGAAUUCCUGGUGUAGCGGUGGAAUGCGCAGAUAUCAGGAGGAACACCGAUGGCGAAGGCAGUUCUCUGGGCCGUAACUGACGCUGAGGAGCGAAAGCGUGGGGAGCGAACAGG
rnacentral:rRNA from 1 species